rnacentral:rRNA from 1 species
GACGAACGCUGGCGGCGUGCUUAACACAUGCAAGUCGAACGGAAAGGCCCUGCUUUUGUGGGGUGCUCGAGUGGCGAACGGGUGAGUAACACGUGAGUAACCUGCCCUUGACUUUGGGAUAACUUCAGGAAACUGGGGCUGAUACCGGAUAGGAGCUCCUGCUGCAUGGUGGGGGUUGGAAAGUUUCGGCGGUUGGGGAUGGACUCGCGGCUUAUCAGCUUGUUGGUGGGGUAGUGGCUUACCAAGGCUUUGACGGGUAGCCGGCCUGAGAGGGUGACCGACCACAUUGGGACUGAGAUACGGCCCAGACUCCUACGGGAGGCAGCAGUGGGGAAUAUUGCACAAUGGGCGGAAGCCUGAUGCAGCAACGCCGCGUGCGGGAUGACGGCCUUCGGGUUGUAAACCGCUUUCGCCUGUGACGAAGCGUGAGUGACGGUAAUGGGUAAAGAAGCACCGGCUAACUACGUG